GGCCGUAGUUCAGUGCUAAAGGAUCUGCUUUGCAUGCAGAAGGACCCAAGUUCAGUCCCUGACAUCGCCA